rnacentral:rRNA from 1 species
CCUACGGGUGGCAGCAGUGAGGAAUAUUGGACAAUGGGCGCGAGCCUGAACCAGCCAAGUCGCGUGAGGGAAGACGGUCCUAUGGAUUGUAAACCUCUUUUGUCGGGGAGCAAAAGACGCCACGCGUAGCGGUCCGAGAGUACCCGAAGAAAAAGCGUCGGCUAACUCGGUGCCAGCAGCCGCGGUAAUACGGAGGAGGCGAGUGUUAACCGGAUUAAUUGGGUUAAAAGGGUGAGCAGGCGGAUGGUCAAGUCAGCGGUGAAAUGGAGAGGCUCAACCUCUUCGAGCAUGUGAAACUGGUUUUCUUGAGUGAGCGAGAGGUAUGUGGAAUGCGUGGUGUAGCGGUGAAAUGCAUAGAUAUCUCGCAGAACUCCGAUUGCGAAGGCAGCAUCCCGGCGCUCAACUGACGCUCAUGCACGAAAGUGUGGGUAUCGAACAGGAUUAGAUACCCCUGUAGUC